rnacentral:ribozyme from 1 species
UCUCGGUUAUAUUAUUUUUUUACUUUUCCCUGUGGAUUUUUCUUCCCGAAUUUUGUGAAAUUUUUCCCCAAACAGGAGGAGAAGGCU